rnacentral:lncRNA from 1 species
AGGGGCGGGGGAGGGGCAGGGAGGUGAGGACUCCAGCUGGACGCCAGGGUGAACCUGGGCUGCCCUCACCACCCAGGAUGCCCUGGGAGUGGGGUCCAUUAAAGAGGCAGCCCACCUCCUCGUGUGCACCCAGCGCAUGCGUGGGUCAGGAGCUCUGGGUUACCGCUGUGCACCCCCAGAGAGGUGGCCGAGCAGGUCUGGUCCCACGGCACAGGUGGGGAAGCUGAGGCCUGGAAAGUCAUGGUCAGCCCAGGACUCUGGGGGUCAGCAGUGGAGCCCAGAGCAGGACCAGGACCCCAACUCCAGAGCCAGCUCCCUCCUGAGGCCCCAUCCAGGCCCAUCCAGGGGUCCCUGAGCCACCGCCCCCACAUCACCCGGCAGCAGGGACCCGAUUGAGGGAAGGCAAGCAGAGUGGGGAGUGGAAGACCGAGGCCCAGCCAGGGCAGGAGACUGGCUGGAGUCACACAGCACAUUGAUCCAGGGCCCUGCAGCUGGUCACAGAGGCCUCAAAGGGGCAGGACAGCUGAAGGAAUGGCAUUCUUCUGGUCUCAGCUGAAAUCCAUGACUUCUGAGGGCCUUCCUGACUGCUCCCCGAUAAUCGCCACCACAUCAUGUCCCCCUUUACCCUCUCUGUGCCCCCACCCCAGCACCCCAUCCUUUCCAUAAUUUGUAAUUAUCCAUUUGGGCUUUUUCUGGUUUAAUCCCGGGCUCCCCGCAAGCCACUAAGCCCCAGAGGGCAGCAUCCUGGGUUGUCUGCCCACCGCUGGGUCCUGGGGCCAGGACAGUGCCCAGCACAUUAUGAUCCCUCGAGAAACAGUUCAUUGAAUUGAGUGAUCAAUAAAGGAGGGAAAAUAAAUAAAAGAACGCCACCCCCAGGAGCCUCUAUUCCCUCCUCUAAACAAGUGAGGAUGAUAAUAACCCCCAGGGGCCGCAGGAGGCUGAAGGGACGGGAAGCACAUGCUCAGGUCCUCCCUGCCUCCUCCGCCUACAGAGUUGGGCAUGGGGGGCUCGGGAGGACCCGACUCCCCGGGGCCAGACCCUGGGGAGACACAGCCUACAAGACAGACCCUCCUCUGCUCUCAUGGAGCGCUCCGUCCGGCAGGGAAGAGAAACACUGAGUACAGCGCUACAGGUACUUAAAAGAAAAAGCAGGGAGAAGAUGACGCUGCCAAGAAGGGCGGACUCCGGAGGCAGAGUUAGGGACCUGACCCAGUCUGGGGUGCGCCAGGCUACCUCUUCCUUGCCCUGGAGUUCCCAGGGGCAGGUGCACCCAGCCUCGUUGUCCACACGGCAGGGCAGGAUGGAGAAUCUGAUGCCUCCUCCCAAGCUGGCCCCCCGGGCUGCCUCCUUCCUCCAACAGGGUACACGGGGGGCAGCUGGGUAACUGGCCUCCCUCAGCAACCUCCUCAUCUGCCCAUGACAUUCGCACCCCAAGGUGAUCUGAACACCCCCAUCCCUGCCAGGGCUGCUCUGUCCCAGGACACCCUGCAAUGCAGACCGGGGGAGCCCUGAGGAGCACAGUAGACCCUGAAGGCCAGGCUGGAUUCAGGGGGACGCAGUGAGGUGCUAGAGAAAGGGGCUGAAUGGCUUUAGAGGAAGGAAGGAGGUGCCAGGGGACCCUAGAGCUUUUGGGGUCCCCUGGAAGAGUUUGUGGGCUGGCAGCUGCGUAAAGCGGAGGGUUUCCUAGUGAGGUGCUGGCAGCAUCUCUGACCAUCCUCUCUUGGGCCCAACACUCUCUGCAGGGGUGAGGGACAUCCCCCAUCCUGCCACGCCUCUCUCCUGGAGGGUGGAUUUCAAGGCCUCAAACACUACCUGCAGCUCCCCAAACUCUCCCCCUCUCUCACAGCUCUCUCCAUCUGCCCCACGCCCCAGUCCCCAGAGCCAACGCCCAGACAGACAGGCACUUGCCCCUUCUGGGUGGCACCUACUGCGCGCCGGCCGUGGUGAGGCCCUUCAGAGCCCGGCCUGCGAGGAGCACGGCUCUGCGGUCAGGCCUGGGUUCUAUCCGGCCCCUCCACCCGUCAGCUGAGCGACACAGCAAGUCAAUAAUUACAGUUUCCUCAUCCAUGAAAGGGAGACGGACCCGCUCUGUGGGUCAGGACCCUAGAAGCAAAUGUCCUCUGAUGUAUCCCGAGUGCACACAGUAGGUGCUCAAGAACUAAUGUCCUAAGGGAUGAUGUGUGUAAAGCUCUCAGCACACAGUAAUACUGAUCAAAUGAUGGUUUAAAAGAUUUUGUCUCGUGAAACUGUGCAGGGACUAGGGAAGGGAAAAAAAUCACAGGCUGACACCCUGGACAGGCCACCCCCCACACCACCCCCUCACCAUGCCCCCACACUGGCAUGCCCCACCCCUCUCUCCUGCAAGGGGAUCCCUAGCCAGUUUUCCUUCAUCCCCUGGAUCCUACUUAGCUGCUCCCAGCAGCCCAGAGACCCAGCGCCAACUCACCCAAGUGUGCCCAGCCUGGCAGCAGCAGGGGCUACAGAAGCCAGAGCCCAGGAGGGGAGGAAAGGGAGCAGGCCUGCCUCUGGUUCCCUGGGUGACCGUGGCAGGUCCACGCUCCCUCUGGCCUUCAGUGUCUCCAUCCCUCAAUUAAGGUGCUUGGACCACACUGUCCUGGGGCUGCCUGAUGGGGAAUGAGGUGGGGCAGCGGGGGCGAGCAGAGAGGUCUCAGAAGCCUCCCCCCACCCACACCCCCGCCCCACCUCCAGCCAGAGCCUUGGCCUUCAUCUGCUCCAUGGACCGGGCUCCCAGGGAAGGUUUAUUUGGUGUUCUGAAGACAGGUUCUGUUGCUUUAAAAAGAUCUGAAACCCACUAGGCUAGAUGUCCUUGAACUGCCUGGCAGCCUUUACUUCCUGGGCUCUGAGCCUCCACAAUUCUAAAUUCUGAGAUUCUCAGAACCCCAGAUCCUGGUCUCCUGAAACUCCAGAAUUCGAAGUCGUGGAUUCUAAGAUGUACUGGGACUCACGUCGCCCACUGCAACACAUCCCUCGUAAACACACAGCUGGACCUUGGAGGCCUGGGAGAGGGUGGGGGCAGGAGGGAGGUCUUCUGUGAGUCACGGGCCCAGGAGGACUCCUCAGGGGACCUACAGCAACAGGGUCCAGGGCAAGCUGAGACCAAGAGAGGGUGGCGCCCGGAAACAGCCAUGGCUCAGGGUCCUCGGUUUGAAGGGGAGUGAGCACCACCACCCCUGCCAGGGUCAACACCCAGGGCAGGGCAGACAGGUUGGCAGAAGGUCUGCAGGGGGCUGGGGACUCAAAGUCAGGCCACUUCCACACCCUCCCCACUGGAGCAGCCCCGCAGGCACAGGAGGGCGGUGCCCACUUCCAGCACAGCUCCUUGGCAGCGGGCACCGAGCGCCCUUCCCUGGAUAGUGGCAGCAGGCACCAGCCAGACCUGGGCCCCAGCCAAGCCGCUCUGGGGCAGCCCCAUCUGCAGAGUCUCUGGCUUCCCACCGCCCGGCUUGGGUCCAUCCACAGGCCUGAUGCCCAGGCUGGCAGCCCUCCACACACCCGCCAGGCGGCUGCCCUACCAGUUCCCAGCCACCGCUCCUCUCUGCCCACCAGGCCUCUGAGGGUCAGGAGCCACAGGUGGGCCAGGGCACCAGCGUCACUCACCCCUUCCGGAUGAUGAUAACGAUGGCCCUGCACUCUGGGAGGCAGAAGUGCCUUUGCCUUGCUCUCCAGCUGUUUCUUUCAGGCUUUAAAGUCGCAGGGAGUCACCUGAGUGUCCUGGUCACCAGCCGGUUGCAAACACCAGCCAAGGCCCCGCUCAGCCUCCAUCCACUUUCCAGGCUGACGUCAGGCCUCCCUCCGCCCUGAGACUCCCCAGGAGACGAGAGCGAUCAACAUUAGCCAGGAGCAAAGCGCAUCUUUAUCUGGGAUGACCCCCAUCAUGCAGGACCAUCCAGGAGAAGAGCCAGGAAUCAGCAAGCCCUCCAUCUCUGCGGGGCGUCUGAGGGGAGAUCCUCUGCAUGGCCUGGCCAGGCACCGCUCCCGGCUGGCUGUUCUCUAGUGAUGUCAUGACAGUCACCAUCAGAUACUCUGGGCCUCAGAGGAGACUCAGCAGCACUGUCAGUUCCAUAUGCUGGCCCUCACUGAUCCAGAACUCCUGGUCGGGGGAUGAUCUGAAGAAUGAAGGAUGCCAUCACCUAGGGGCCCUGGGAGGCUCGGGCCUUUCCCCAGAAGACCCCAAUUCCAUCUCAGUGUGGAGGGAAAAGGGUCUGAGGGGAUGUUGUAAGCACCCCAUACUGCACAAUGAGGGACCAGCAUAUGGAAGUGACACCCCAUACUCCAUACUGUGUGCCAGUCUCAGCACACAAGAAGAGCUCAACAAAUGUGGCCUGCUGACAUUAGGACCAGAGCAAUCAGUCCGAGGGGAGUGCGGCACAGCCCAACUUUCGCUGUGGAAGUCCCCUGGCCCGUGAUAUGUAAGGAAGUGAGGACCUGCAGAUGAGCCCAGCUUCCACCCAGCACCUGCUCACUGGCCUUGCUGACUUCGGGCUCACUCCCCUCCCCAUCUAAUCCCUGCCAUGCCUCAGAGUAACCCUGAAAACCUCCUCAGGGAUUGGAAGCUCCUCAGGCCUCUGCAUUUGGCUCAGUCACUGCUGUUUCCCGAGAACAGGGCGGUGCCCGACGCCUCAGCCAGCAUUUCCUGAGCACGGACUGUGUGCUGUGUGCUGGGGACUGCGCUCAGCCCUUUACUAGCAUACAUCAAUUAACCUUCGAAGUCAUCUUCAAGGACAUACUGGAGACAGGACAGCAUCGGGGCUGGGAGCACGCGCUUGAAGGUCAGGCUGGCUGGAUUUGAACCCGGCUCCGCAUUUACCAGCUGGGUAGAUCUUUAUCGGGUUAUGUGCCUCAGUUUCCUCAUAUAAGAUGGAGCGAGUAAUGACAGCACCUACCUCAUGGGGCUGUUCUGAGGAUUAGAGUGAAUUUAUAUAAAGAGCUU